rnacentral:rRNA from 1 species
GUAGGGAAUAUUGGGCAAUGGAUGCAAGUCUGACCCAGCCAUCCCGCGUGCCGGAAGAAGGCCCUCAGGGUUGUAAACGGCUUUUGACGGUGAAGAAUCGACAGGAUGCGUCCUGUUUUGACGGUAGCCGUUGAAUAAGCACCGGCUAACUCCGUGCCAGCAGCCGCGGUAAUACGGAGGGUGCGAGCGUUGUCCGGAUUUAUUGGGUUUAAAGGGUGCGUAGGCUGGAAGGUCAGUCAGUGGUGAAAAGCUGUCGCUUAACGAUAGUCUUGCCACAGAUACUUCCUUUCUUGGAUGAGGAGGAGGCCACUGGAACGGAUGGUGUAGCGGUGAAAUGCAUAGAUAUCAUCCAGAACACCGAUUGCGAAGGCAGGUGGCUGUACCUUAAUCGACGCUGAUGCACGAAAGCAUGGGGAGCAAACAGGAUUAGAAACCCUGGUAGUCC